UACGUAGGGUGCAAGCGUUGUCCGGAAUUAUUGGGCGUAAAGAGCUCGUAGGCGGUUUGUCGCGUCUGCUGUGAAAACCCGAGGCUCAACCUCGGGCCUGCAGUGGGUACGGGCAGACUAGAGUGCGGUAGGGGAGAUUGGAAUUCCUGGUGUAGCGGUGGAAUGCGCAGAUAUCAGGAGGAACACCAGUGGGCGAAGGCGGAUCUCU
rnacentral:rRNA from 1 species